GCAAGUCGAACGAUAAGCUUACUUCGGUAAGUGGACAGUGGCGCACGGGUGAGUAACGCGUAGAGAUCUACCAAGCAGUGGGGGACAACUAUUGGAAACGAUAGCUAAAACCGCAUACGCCCUUCGGGGGAAAUAUUUAUAGCUGUUUGAUGAGUCUGCGUUAGAUUAGCUAGUUGGUAGGGUAAAAGCCUACCAAGGCGACGAUCCAUAGCUGGUCUGAGAGGAUGAUC
rnacentral:rRNA from 1 species